GACGUAGGGGGCGAGCGUUGUCCGGAUUCAUUGGGCGUAAAGAGCUCGUAGGCGGCUUGGCAAGUCGGAUGUGAAAACUCCAGGCUCAACCUGGAGCCGCCAUUCGAUACUGCUAUGGCUAGAGUCCGGUAGGGGAGUGUGGAAUUCCCGGUGUAGCGGUGAAAUGCGCAGAUAUCGGGAGGAACACCGAUGGCGAAGGCAGCACUCUGGGCCGGCACUGACGCUGAGGAGCGAAAGCGUGGGGAGCGAACGAG
rnacentral:rRNA from 1 species